rnacentral:rRNA from 1 species
AGCGAACGCUGGCGGCAGGCCUAACACAUGCAAGUCGAACGAACCCUUCGGGGUUAGUGGCGGACGGGUGAGUAACACGUGGGAACGUGCCUUUAGGUUCGGAAUAACUCAGGGGAACCUGUGCUAAUACCGAAUGUGCCCUUCGGGGGAAAGAUUUAUCGCCUUUAGAGCGGCCCGCGUCUGAUUAGCUAGUUGGUGAGGUAAUGGCUCACCAAGGCUACGAUCAGUAGCUGGUCUGAGAGGAUGACCAGCCACAUUGGGACUGAGACACGGCCCAAACUCCUACGGGAGGCAGCAGUGGGGAAUUUUGCGCAAUGGGCGAAAGCCUGACGCAGCCAUGCCGCGUGGAUGAUGAAGGUCUUAGGAUUGUAAAAUCCUUUCACCGGUGAAGAUAAUGGCUGUAGCCGGAGAAGAAGCCCCGGCUAACUUCGUGCCAGCCGCCGCGGUAAUAC